rnacentral:tRNA from 1 species
UCCGGUAUGGUGUAACGGCUAACAUUGCCGCCUUUCACUACUGGAUCGCGGCAGCUCGGGGUUCGAUUCCCCGUACCGGAA